UUAUUUACUUGGCGCCAGGAUCAGGGUGAUCAAGAAUGCCCUGGCUCCAGGUGGAUGCUCGCCUUUGCACUUCAGCGUGUUGAAGCCUGCGACGAUCCCUAAUUGGGCUCGCUUGGACGAGUAGUUUUUGCUGGUGAAGAGGUCUUCGGAUCAUCCCUU
rfam:Trichobilharzia regenti genome assembly, scaffold: TRE_contig0044834